rnacentral:rRNA from 1 species
UACGUAGGAGGCAAGCGUUGUCCGGAAUCACUGGGCGUAAAGCGCACGUAGGCGGUUUGUUAAGUCAGGGGUGAAAUCCCAGAGCUCAACUCUGGAACUGCCUUUGAUACUGGCAAGCUAGAGUCCGGAAGAGGUAAGUGGAACUCCUAGUGUAGAGGUGGAAUUCGUAGAUAUUAGGAAGAACACCAGUGGCGAAGGCGGCUUACUGGUCCGGAACUGACGCUGAGGUGCGAAAGCGUGGGGAGCAAACAGG